CUACGGGGGGCAGCAGUGAGGAAUUUUGCGCAAUGGGGGAAACCCUGACGCAGCAACGCCGCGUGAGCGAAGAAGGCCCUCGGGUCGUAAAGCUCUGUCAAGUGGGAAAAAAAUUUUUUGAUCAAUAGUCAAAAGACUUGAUGGUACCACUGGAGGAAGCGCCGGCUAACUCCGUGCCAGCAGCCGCGGUAAUACGGAGGGUGCGAGCGCUGUUCGGAUUUACUGGGCGUAAAGAGCGUGUAGGCGGUUUAGCAAGUCAGAUGUGAAAGCCCUGGGCUCAACCCGGGAAGUGCAUUUGAAACUGCUUCACUAGAGUAUGGGAGAGGAGAUUGGAAUUCCGGGUGUAGAGGUGCAAUUCGUAGAUAUCAGGAGGAACACCCGUGGCGAAGGCGAUUCUCUGGACCAAUACUGACGCUGAGACGCGAAAGCGUGGGGAGCAAACAGGAUUAGAUACCCCAUAGUC
rnacentral:rRNA from 1 species